rnacentral:lncRNA from 1 species
ACUAUGAACAGCACCACAACUUCAGGCAAGCUGGCUGUGGACUUUCCCAUUUGUUUUAUAUCAAGUUGCUGCUUCUACUGAAAACCUGCUGGAGAUGGGUCUUUUAUCCUCCUCUCCACAUCAAGGCCAACUCCUCCACAGUGAAGCAGCUGGUGGUCACUGCCAGCCAUAGCUCUACUAAAUCCAAGGAUAGAGAGAAGCCAGCAGUCCUAACCAGCACACUUCAGGCUCUCAAGUUCUUAUCAGAAGUUCAGCAGUUUGCUUGAAAAAAAGCUUGUCAAGGUGCUAUUUGUAUUUGCUGCCUAGAAAUGAUUUUUGACAUAUUUGUCUAGUCUUACAUUAUUUUUUAAUAUGAGGAUUUGUCAGCCUUUCUGCACUGCCAUAGCUAGAAAUUCUACCCCUUAUUCUUGUUUUUAACUGAGUUAUAAUCAGACUAUAUAUACAAUCUUAUGCUCCAGAGACCCCUGGAUUUUAUUGAGCUAAGUUGGUUUGCUAUCUGAGAAGGUUACAGUUAAAAUUGGCCUACUAAUCCAUUUUGUAUGGAAACUUUUUAAAAAUUAGCUAAUCACCCAACAAAUAAGUGGGACUUAGUGGCAAAGAGCAAGUCACACACCAAAGCUAGUGUCUGUACCCAGGAAUCCCCAGAGCUUCAGUAUCU